GACGGAGGAUGCAAGCGUUAUCCGGAAUGAUUGGGCGUAAAGCGUCCGCAGGUGGCAGUUCAAGUCUGCUGUCAAAGACCGGGGCUUAACUUCGGAAAGGCAGUGGAAACUGAACAGCUAGAGUAUGGUAGGGGCAGAGGGAAUUCCUGGUGUAGCGGUGAAAUGCGUAGGAGAUCAGGAAGAACAUCGGUGGCGAAGGCGGGUCUCUGGGCCGAUACUGACGCUGAGGAGCGAAAGCGUGGGGAGCGAACGGG
rnacentral:rRNA from 1 species